rnacentral:rRNA from 1 species
GAUGAACGCUGGCGGCGUGCCUAAUACAUGCAAGUCGAGCGAACGGACGAGAAGCUUGCUUCUCUGAUGUUAGCGGCGGACGGGUGAGUAACACGUGGAUAACCUACCUAUAAGACUGGGAUAACUUCGGGAAACCGGAGCUAAUACCGGAUGAUAUUUUGAACCGCAUGGUUCAAAAGUGAAAGACGGUCUUGCUGUCACUUAUAGAUGGAUCCGCGCUGCAUUAGCUAGUUGGUAAGGUAAUGGCUUACCAAGGCAACGAUGCAUAGCCGACCUGAGAGGGUGAUCGGCCACACUGGAACUGAGACACGGUCCAGAAGCCUACGGGAGGCAGCAGUAGGGAAUCUUCCGCAAAGGGCGAAAGCCUGACGGAGCAACGCCGCGUGAGUGAUGAAGGUCUUCGGAUCGUAAAACUCUGUUAUUAGGGAAGAACAUAUGUGUAAGUAACUGUGCACAUCUUGACGGUACCUAAUCAGAAAGCCACGGCUAACUACGUG